rnacentral:rRNA from 1 species
CCCUUAGAUGUUCUGGGCUGCACGCGUGCUACAAUGAAGCGUCCAACAAGAUGCGAAGCCGAAAGGCUCAGCGGAUCUUUGAAGUCGUUUCGUGACCGGGACAGUUGAUUGCAAUUAUUCGACUCGAACGAGGAAUUCCUUGUAAUCGCGAUUCAUCAUAUCGCGCUGAAUACGUCCCUGCCCUUUGUACACACCGCCCGUCGCUCCUACCGAUUGAGCGAUCCGGUGAAUUAUUUGGAGCGUCCACGCAAGCCAAUCCGUUUACGUGGGUGCGAAAUUUUGUAAACCUUAUCGCUUAGAGGAAGGAAAANUCGUANCA